rnacentral:rRNA from 1 species
GACGAACGCUGGCGGCGUGCUUAACACAUGCAAGUCGAACGGAAAGGCCCUGCUUUUGUGGGGUGCUCGAGUGGCGAACGGGUGGGUAACACGUGAGUAGCCUGCCCUUGACUUUGGGAUAACUUCAGGAAACUGGGGCUAAUACCGGAUAGGAGCUCCUGCUGCAUGGUGGGGGUUGGAAAGUUUCGGCGGUUGGGGAUGGACUCGCGGCUUAUCAGCUUGUUGGUGGGGUAGUGGCUUACCAAGGCUUUGACGGGUAGCCGGCCUGAGAGGGUGACCGGCCACAUUGGGACUGAGAUACGGCCCAGACUCCUACGGGAGGCAGCAGUGGGGAAUAUUGCACAAUGGGCGGAAGCCUGAUGCAGCAACGCCGCGUGCGGGAUGACGGCCUUCGGGUUGUAAACCGCUUUCGCCUGUGACGAAGCGUGAGUGACGGUAAUGGGUAAAGAAGCACCGGCUAACUACGU